ACUGAUGUGUUGUUGGGUAGGGGAGCGUUCUGUAAGCCGUUGAAGGUGGCCUGUGAGGGUUGCUGGAGGUAUCAGAAGUGCGAAUGCUGACAUAAGUAACGAUAAAGCGGGUGAAAAGCCCGCUCGCCGGAAGACCAAGGGUUCCUGUCCAACGUUAAUCGGGGCAGGGUGAGUCGACCCCUAAGGCGAGGCCGAAAGGCGUAGUCGAUGGGAAACGGGUUAAUAUUCCCGUACUUGGUGUUACUGCGAAGGGGGGACGGAGAAGGCUAUGUUGGCCGGGCGACGGUUGUCCCGGUUUAAGCGUGUAGGUGUGUGUUCCAGGUAAAUCCGGUUCACUUUAACACUGAGGCGUGACGACGAGGCACCACGGUGCUGAAGCAACAAAUGCCCUGCUUCCAGGAAAAGCCUCUAAGCCUCAGGUAACAUCAAAUCGUACCCCAAACCGACACAGGUGGUCAGGUAGAGAAUACCAAGGCGCUUGAGAGAACUCGGGUGAAGGAACUAGGCAAAAUGGUGCCGUAACUUCGGGAGAAGGCACGCUGACACGUAGGUGAAGUGGUUUACCCAUGGAGCUGAAGUCAGUCGAAGAUACCAGCUGGCUGCAACUGUUUAUUAAAAACACAGCACUGUGCAAACACGAAAGUGGACGUAUACGGUGUGACGCCUGCCCGGUGCCGGAAGGUUAAUUGAUGGGGUCAGCGCAAGCGAAGCUCCUGAUCGAAGCCCCGGUAAACGGCGGCCGUAACUAUAACGGUCCUAAGGUAGCGAAAUUCCUUGUCGGGUAAGUUCCGACCUGCACGAAUGGCGUAAUGAUGGCCAGGCUGUCUCCACCCGGGACUCAGUGAAAUUGAACUCGCUGUGAAGAUGCAGUGUACCCGCGGCAAGACGGAAAGACCCCGUGAACCUUUACUAUAGCUUGACACUGAACACUGGUCCUUGAUGUGCAGGAUAGGUGGGAGGCUUUGAAGUGUGGACGCCAGUCUGCAUGGAGCCAUCCUUGAAAUACCACCCUUUAAUGGCUGGUGUUCUAACGUGGGCCCGUGAACCGGGUUGCGGACAGUGUCUGGUGGGUAGUUUGACUGGGGCGGUCUCCUCCUAAAGAGUAACGGAGGAGCACGAAGGUUGGCUAAUCCUGGUCGGACAUCAGGAGGUUAGUGCAAUGGCAUAAGCCAGCUUGACUGCGAGCGUGACGGCGCGAGCAGGUGCGAAAGCAGGUCAUAGUGAUCCGGUGGUUCUGAAUGGAAGGGCCAUCGCUCAACGGAUAAAAGGUACUCCGGGGAUAACAGGCUGAUACCGCCCAAGAGUUCAUAUCGACGGCGGUGUUUGGCACCUCGAUGUCGGCUCAUCACAUCCUGGGGCUGAAGUAGGUCCCAAGGGUAUGGCUGUUCGCCAUUUAAAGUGGUACGCGAGCUGGGUUUAGAACGUCGUGAGACAGUUCGGUCCCUAUCUGCCGUGGGCGCUGGAAGAUUGAGGGGGGCUGCUCCUAGUACGAGAGGACCGGAGUGGACGCAUCACUGGUGUUCGGGUUGUCAUGCCAAUGGCACUGCCCGGUAGCUACAUGCGGAAGAGAUAAGUGCUGAAAGCAUCUAAGCACGAAACUUGCCCCGAGAUGAAUCUUCCCUGAGCCUUUAAGGCUCCUGAAGGAACGUUGAAGACGACGACGUUGAUAGGCCGGGUGUGUAAGCGCAGCGAUGCGUUGAGCUAACCGGUACUAAUGAACCGUGAGGCUUAACCUUACAACGCCGAAG
rnacentral:rRNA from 1 species